CACGAAUUGCAACCUCUUCGCAAGUCCAAGACGGAUGCAGAGUUGCAACCAGACCAAACUCAUGGAAUAAAUCAUGCACAGACCCAAAAGACAACCCUUGAACAAAGUAUAUAUUGCCUUCCCCUCUCCACUUUCCUUCUCGUCUUCUCUGCAUUUUUCUCCAAACCACUUCUUGCCCUGUGUCAGCUAUCCAUUCCUUCCAGUUUCCCUACUCCGUUUACCUCCUUUCAAUUCCUUUUUUCUCGCCAUUGCUCCGAUUCUCUUUCUCGUUUCCCUCCGUCGCCCCAAGUAACCUCUCUCUCUACGGUUGUCUGCUCUCGAUUGAUUGAUUUUGUUUUAAGACUCCUUUCCAUUUUUCAGUGAUAAAUUUCAGGUCUUUUACAUAUGAAAUUUUGUAGGAUGGAUCUGAUUGUAUAGGUUCUGGUUCUCGGUCUAGUUAUCGAAUCCAAUUAGUCGAAAGGAAAGAACGUAUUUUUGAUGGGUCGAAAGAAGCCGAUGGCUCGUGGGGACGACGAGACCGCCCCGGCUGCGGUGUCUAAGUCGAAGAAGAAGGAGGUCGUCAUCGAUGACGAUGAGUAUUCUAUCGGAGUUGAGCUGUCCGAGGAGCCAGAGGCUCAAGAUAGGGUUGCUGUAACUGGGAAGAAGAAGGGUAAGAAGGGGGGCGCGAAAGCUUUGAACCCCAAGGACGAUGAGGGUGACGAUGUCGAAAAGGAAGAGGACGAGGCUCUUGAUACGAUGUUCACUGGGAAGAAGAAAGGGAAGUCGAAGAAGGGCGGUGGGAAUAGCACGUUUAGCGCUUCUGGGUUCGGUUUGUUGGGAGACGAGGAUGACGAUGAGGAUGGACGCUCUGGACUAACUGAUGAGAAAGACAGUGUGGAAGAUGAUGAUGAGCAAGUGGCAAGCUUCUCAGGGAAUAAGAAGAAGAAGAAGAAGAAGCCGUCCAAGGACUCCAGUAUGGGUGGUAGUAGUUUGUUUAGUGCAUCUGCGUUUGAUGCUAUUGAUGAUGAUGGUGACAAUCUUGAUGAUAAUGAGGGGGAGGAGGUGGAUAAUUCUUUGGGAGAAAGUAAAGUUGAGGAUGGCGAUGAUGAAGAUGAGCAAGUAAUUGCUUUUACAGGAAAGAAGAAGAAGUCAUCCAAGGCCAAAGUUGGCAGCAAAGGUGGUGGUGGUAGUGUGUUCACAAAGUCUGAUUUUGAUGGGCUGGAUGAUGGGGAUGAAAAGAAAGAAGAGGAUGAAGAUGUUGCCCCGCUUACUUUCUCGGGUAAGAAAAAGAAGUCUUCAAAGAAGACUGGUGGUAGUUCCUUUAGUGCUGUGUUGGCUGUCGUUGAUGAGGAGAAUGAUGAAGAUACUUCUCUGUCUGAACAUACUAGAGCUGGUGAUGAUGAUACUGUUAGGGAUGAAGAUUUCUCUGCAAUCACAUUUUCGGGGAAGAAAAAGUCUUCAAAGAAAAAAAGUAGUGGUGUUUUUACUGAACUGGGAGAUGAAGCUGAACUUAGAAGUGUAGAUGAACCUGAACAACCGAGUAUGGGAACUAGUAAUGCGGUAGCUGAAGUGUAUAAAGUUAAUAAGAGUGAAGAGGUGAAGGGGACUUCUAAAACUAAGAAGAAAAAGAAGAAGAGUGGAAGGACAGCUGAGGAGGAGGAUGAUUUAGAAAAGAUUCUUGCAGAGCUCGGUGAGGCGCCUCCUAUAUCAAAGCCGGCUGCUCCUCCACAAGAAGAGAAAAUUGAGGUUCAACCUGAACCAGUUGCUCUGGCUGAUGAGAAGGAAGGUGAAGAAGAGAGUGUGGAUUCUGCUGCAGCGAAGAAGAAGAAGAAGAAGAAGGAGAAGGAAAAAGAGAAGAAGGCAGCAGCAGCCACAGCUGCUGCCACUGUUUUGGAGGUGAAGGAUGAAACCCAGGAUGAAGUAAUAACUGAACCAACAAAGCCAAAGAAGAACGAAUCUAAGAGUAAAGCUGUGGACAAGAAAGUGCCAAAACAUGUUAGGGAAAUGCAAGAAGCAAUUGCUCGGAGAAAAGAAGCUGAAGAGAGGAAGAAGAGGGAAGAAGAGGAGAGGUUGAGGAAGGAAGAAGAGGAGCGACGGAAGCAGGAAGAACUUGAGAGACUAGCAGAAGAAGCUAAGCGUAGAAAGAAGGAAAAGGAAAAAGAGAAAUUGCAGAGAAAAAAGGCGGAAGGCAAGCUUUUGACUACGAAGCAGAAGGAAGAAGCCCGGAGGUUGGAAGCAAUGAAGAACCAGUUCCUUGCUAAUGCAGGGAUGCUUCCCCCAUCUACAGACACUGUUGCACAAAAUAAACGUCCCAAAUAUCAGAACAAGAAGCAAAAACCAACUCACGAUAAAGCAAAUGGUGGUGCCCCUGAUAAGCGGGUGGAAAAUGUAGAAGCAAAGGAAGAACCACUAGAGACUCUGGCCAAGAUGGAUAGCAUCGAUUCAGAGAAAGUUGAUGAGGAGUCUAUUGACAUGGAGGACAAGUCUGAAGUUGCCGAGGCUGUCGAAGAUAAUGGAGUGGAAGAAGAUGAUGAUGAGGAUGAAUGGGAUGCAAAGAGCUGGGAUGAUGUUGCUGUUAAUCUUUCUAUUAAUAGUGCGUUUGCUGAUGAAGAGGUCGACUCUGAACCUGAACCAGUGGUUAAAAAGGAGGCAAAGGUUGCAAUACCAACUUCUCACAAUGCAGAACCUCCUGCAACUGCCAAACCAAUGGGUGCUGCUAAGAAAACUACUCCUUCCCAUCCAAUAACAUGUCUGAAUCUUGAGAACAAGGAAAAACAGGAAGCUGAAGUUGCUGAAAAAAAUAAUAGAAAAGAUGAAUCCUUGAAAAAACAAGCUUCAAGGUCUGAUUCUACCUCCAAACCAAGUGAAGAUAACCUUCGUUCCCCAAUUUGCUGCAUCAUGGGCCAUGUUGAUACUGGUAAAACGAAGUUGCUGGAUUGUAUCCGAGGCACUAACGUUCAGGAAGGUGAAGCUGGAGGCAUCACUCAACAAAUUGGUGCGACAUAUUUUCCUGCUGAGAACAUUCGCGAGAGAACCAAGGAACUGAAAGCUGAUGCAAAACUGAAGGUCCCGGGUCUAUUGGUUAUUGAUACCCCUGGGCACGAAUCCUUUACUAAUUUGAGGUCACGGGGUUCGGGUUUAUGUGAUAUUGCAAUUUUGGUUGUCGACAUAAUGCAUGGCUUGGAGCCACAAACAAUAGAAUCACUUAACCUUUUGAAAAUGAGGAAUACAGAAUUCAUUGUUGCAUUGAAUAAGGUAGAUAGGCUCUAUGGAUGGAAAACGUGUCGCAAUGCACCAAUUGUGAAGGCCAUGAAACAACAAUCUAAGGAUGUACAAAAUGAAUUCAACAUGAGGGUCACUCAGAUUGUAACCCAGUUCAAGGAGCAAGGUCUAAAUACUGAAUUGUAUUAUAAGAAUAAGGAAAUGGGGGAAACUUUUAGCAUUGUACCUACAAGUGCUAUUAGUGGCGAAGGCAUCCCAGAUUUGUUAUUAUUAUUGAUUCAAUGGACUCAGAAAACUAUGGUUGAGAAACUUACAUAUAGCAAUGAAGUUCAGUGUACAGUGUUGGAAGUCAAGGUCAUUGAAGGUCAUGGGACAACUAUUGAUGUUGUUUUAGUCAAUGGUGUGCUUCAUGAAGGAGAUCAAAUGGUUGUUUGUGGCAUGCAGGGACCUAUUGUCACCACAAUUCGAGCUUUAUUGACGCCUCAUCCAAUGAAGGAACUUCGAGUCAAGGGGACUUAUCUGCACCAUAAGGAAAUCAAGGCAGCAAUGGGUAUCAAGAUCACGGCACAGGGCCUUGACCAUGCUAUAGCUGGCACUGGUCUAUAUAUUGUAGGUUCAGAUGAUGAUUUAGAGGAUGUCAAGGAAUCAGCUAUGGAAGAUAUGCAGUCAGUCAUGAGCAGGAUUGACAAGAGUGGUGAGGGAGUUUACGUGCAAGCGUCUACCUUAGGCUCAUUGGAAGCACUGCUCGAGUUCUUGAAGUCCCCAGCUGUAAACAUUCCUGUUAGUGGCAUAGGCAUAGGCCCGGUACAUAAAAAGGAUGUCAUGAAGGCCAGUGUAAUGCUUGAAAAGAAAAAGGAAUAUGCUACUAUCUUGGCAUUUGAUGUAAAAAUUAUGAAGGAUGCUGAGGAACUUGCAGAGUCUCUAAGUGUGACAAUUUUUCGGGCUGAUAUCAUUUAUCACUUGUUUGAUCAAUUUAAGGCCUAUAUUGACAACCUCAAGGAGGAAAAGAAGAAGGAAACUGCUGAUGAUGCGGUCUUCCCAUGUGUCCUUAAAAUUUUACCCAACUGCAUUUUCAACAAGAAGGAUCCAAUUGUAUUGGGGCUUGAUAUCCUUGAAGGCAUUGCUAAGGUUGGGACUCCGAUUUGUAUUCCUCAGAGGGAUUUUAUUGAUAUUGGAAGAAUUGCAUCCAUUGAAAAUAAUCAUAAACCUGUGGAUAUUGCAAAGAAAGGGCAGAAGGUUGCAAUUAAGAGUCCAUACAGCUUUCUGUUCUGCGCCAUGUGCACAUGUCAUCAUUGAGUCAUUGCACUGGCAUUUCCAAAUAAAAUAAAUAUGCCGGGGCCCUUCUUAAUUUCUUGGAUAGUUGGCACCAAUCCUGAGGAACAGCAAAAGAUGUUUGGUAGGCACUUUGAGCUUGAGGAUGAACUUGUCAGCCACAUCUCAAGGAAGUCAAUUGAUGUACUUAAAGCUAAUUAUAGGGAUGAUCUGUCUAUUGAGGAGUGGAAGUUGGUUGUGAAAUUGAAGACUCUUUUCAA